rnacentral:sRNA from 1 species
UGACCAUGGUGACGAGUCGAGCCCC